GCUGCCCUGAAGUCCAUGCAAGCGAGCAGAGUCCCGGGAGCCCUACAGAGGCCUGGGUGGCAUGCACUCCCUCUCACGAGGUGGCACGGACCCCAGAAGCCACAUUGGAUGAGGCUCUGGUCUGUCUCACCAGGCGAGUUGGAUUCCAAGAAGUUGGACCACCAGACUGAAUUCAAACUUCAUUCUCAACCAUUCAGGACCCCAUCCUGCCUUAAAUCCUUGCCCCAUGAGCCUCUUCCUUUGCUCUGAGGAUCUUAAAAUCAGGCAUGGAAAUGGUCCCAAAAGGAUCCCUACAAGUAAACUUGAAAGCAAAACUUGAGUCUUGCAUCAUUCCUGCUUCAUUCAGGGAUCAGCAUAAAUCUUCCAGCCCUCAUGGUCCACCCUAGGGAAGGUGCCAAAAGCCAGGGGGAGGACAAAG
rnacentral:lncRNA from 1 species